rnacentral:rRNA from 1 species
UGGGGAAUAUUGCACAAUGGAGGAAACUCUGAUGCAGCGACGCCGCGUGAGUGAAGAAGUAAUUCGUUAUGUAAAGCUCUAUCAGCAGGGAAGAUAGUGACGGUACCUGACUAAGAAGCUCCGGCUAAAUACGUGCCAGCAGCCGCGGUAAUACGUAUGGAGCAAGCGUUAUCCGGAUUUACUGGGUGUAAAGGGAGUGUAGGUGGCCAUGCAAGUCAGAAGUGAAAAUCCGGGGCUCAACCCCGGAACUGCUUUUGAAACCGUAAGGCUGGAGUGCAGGAGGGGUGAGUGGAAUUCCUAGUGUAGCGGUGAAAUGCGUAGAUAUUAG